CAAUAGCGUAUAUUAAAGUUGUUGCGGUUAAAAAGCUCGUAGUUGGAUUUCUGCUGAGGACGAUCGGUCCGCCCUCUGGGUGAGUAUCUGGCUUGGCCUUGGCAUCUUCUUGGAGAACGUUACUGCACUUGACUGUGUGGUGCGGUAUCCAGGACUUUUACUUUGAGGAAAUUAGAGUGUUUCAAGCAGGCGCACGCCUUGAAUACAUUAGCAUGGAAUAAUAAGAUAGGACCUUGGUUCUAUUUUGUUGGUUUCUAGAGCUGAGGUAAUGAUUAAUAGGGAUAGUUGGGGGCAUUCGUAUUUAACUGUCAGAGGUGAAAUUCUUGGAUUUGUUAAAGACGGACUACCGCGAAAGCAUUUGCCAAGGAUGUUUUCAUUGA
rnacentral:rRNA from 1 species